AAAGACUUUCGCAGGCCUACUUGUGCACAGCCUGUGUGGGGCCUUCUGGAGAAGGGCUCAGCACGAGCCCACGGCAGCCCAUCCACGCCCACCAGCCUGGGCCGCAGAAGAGGGGCCCAGACGUGACCAGACGGUGAGGCAGCCACAUUCCAGACGGAUGAGGCACGCCUGGGAAGUCACAUGUCUGGCUCACCACCCCACCUGCAGGCACUCAAGCUUUACAAACCCUCGGGCCGACCUGGGGUUCGAGUCCUCCCUCUCGCUAUGUGACCACACAAAUGGCAAGUCCCUGAGUGUCAGGGACAUCACCUAUGAUAGGGGAACGGCCAGACCUGCCUCACGUGUCGCCCUGAGGAUGGAGAAGAGCGGCCGGUAGGUGCCUUGCUGUGGGCCCGGCAUCUGGCAGGUUCUCCAGGGCUGAUUACCCAGAACCCGGGCCUGCCAAGCCACAGAUAUUCAGGAAGUCACAUCAGCCCAAGCUAAACCUAGAAAGUGAACGCUCUGUUGGUGAGAACACGCGAGACCUACCCAGGGUGUGGUGUAUAUGAUGGAUACACGUGUGAACGGACUGUGCCUGCGCACACAGACAUGGACGUGUGUGCUUAUCGCGAGCGGCGUGCACAUCCGCUCCCAUGCCUGUGGACUCCCCAGUGGUCAUGCCGGCCCCAGCUGUCUGGUCCUGUGGUCGUCCUGCUGUGGCCAUCUGUCAGUUUCGACUGCUCAGCAUCCCUUCCCUGUUCUGUGGUAAUAGCACCCCUUGCCUUUGGAGUACGGCCCCCUCCUUUCCACGUCACUUGAUGAGCUGUCAGGCCUGUGCCGGGCCCUCUCCUGUUCCCCAGCAUGGAUGGGAGGUCCAGACCUACUCAGCCAUACUGCCCCAGCCUUCAGACCCCAGGGAUCAGACCUGAGCGGGAACCAUCAGAACAUCGAGCUGGGAUUUUCCAUACAGAUGCGGAGAGAGGCCAGGUUCCCCCUCCUUCCCUCACCAGUUCCGUGGGCUGCGCCUAGCCCUUUCCACCCACCCCACCCCCACCUGACGUGGAGGAGGCCUGCCAGGAGGAGGUGAGCAUGUGGUCGGCACCUAGAGCUAGGUGGUGGGGAAGGGCUCGGUGAGACUGCUUGAGUGCCGGAAACCAGCGACAUACGGAGGCAGCCGGACCUGCCCCGCCGAGUGACACAGGACAUUCACCUGCCCUUUGGGAUUAAGUGAGACGCAGUUGGGUUUCAGCCGCUUGCUCCGAUGGGUCUGGGGGCUGUGUGUGCCUGAACUCAGUACAUGUCCUUUAGCAGUGGCCAGAGUGAGGUGGUCUCAUCACCUCUUGACCCCUCCAGGCGUAUAGAAGACCGAGUGUGCCCUGGACCAGGAGAUCAUGCCUGGAGGUAUAACCCCAGCAGAGCCAUUGAUUUAUCCUCCGGGUGGUUUGGAGUAAGCCCUGCUUCUCUGGACCUCAGCUUCCUCAUUUGUCAAGUGGAGGUUAGGACUAUAUUAUCUCAAAGGGGUCUUGUACUGAUAAUGUUCUAGAAUUCACUCCGUAUGCCGAUGUGCAGUAGGCAUGGGCCACAAGGUCUUCCACAUUCCCACUCCCGUCAGCCUCUUCCCUUCCAUCUCCCACGAUUCCCCCCACCCCCCACCUCACCCCUUGUACUCUACACACCUCUGCAGCCCUACAUUCUCAUUUACUUGUAGCUCCUGGAACAAGUCAUCUGUCCGUCCAUCUGUCCAUCCAUCCAUCCAUCCAUCCAUCCAUCCAUCCAUCCAUAUGAUCAAUCCACCCACCCAUCCAGCGAGCUCCUGAAAUGUAUCAGGCACCAUCUCUGAUGCUAUUGGGACCACAAGUCCUUGCCCUCAUGGAGCGAACAAGUGAACACAGUGUGUAGAGAACUAGGAAAGGGGAGACAUAGGAUACUAUGGCAGCAUCUAGAAGGGGGCUGUAGCUCUCACAGAGGAAGGGAUAGUUCUUUAAGGCAAGGCUCGAAGGUUGAAUAAAGAAUAGUCAUGGGAAGGAGAGGAAGAACAUUUCAGGCCAUUGGAACAGCACAAAGAGUGCUGGGGUAACAGAAACUCCUAACGGAAAGUGCGUAGUCAGCAAAAUGAUGAGAAGUGCAAUGUGUGGCCAGAGAUGGCAGGAGGCGGGCAAUCAUGCUGAUCUCUUUGCCUUUCUGUCUACUUGGCAAACUCCUAUUCAUCCUUAAAAACCCUGCUGAGAAAGUGCCCUCCUUUGACCCUGGAGUUAAUUGCUGUUUCCUCUGUACCUGGCUUAUACUCCUGUAAGUGCACCUGUUCCCCUGCCCUCUCAUGACCUCUUUCCACAUUUGUCCCUCCGCUUAAUGCUCCUUCAGGGCUUGAAGCUGUUUGUCAUUGCAGCGCC